ACACGUGGGUAACCUGCCCAUAAGACUGGGAUAACUCCGGGAAACCGGGGCUAAUACCGGAUAACAUUUUGAACCGCAUGGUUCGAAAUUGAAAGGCGGCUUCGGCUGUCACUUAUGGAUGGACCCGCGUCGCAUUAGCUAGUUGGUGAGGUAACGGCUCACCAAGGCAACGAUGCGUAGCCGACCUGAGAGGGUGAUCGGCCACACUGGGACUGAGACACGGCCCAGACUCCUACGGGAGGCAGCAGUAGGGAAUCUUCCGCAAUGGACGAAAGUCUGACGGAGCAACGCCGCGUGAGUGAUGAAGGCUUUCGGGUCGUAAAACUCUGUUGUUAGGGAAGAACAAGUGCUAGUUGAAUAAGCUGGCACCUUGACGGUACCUAACCAGAAAGCCACGGCUAACUACGUGCCAGCAGCCGCGGUAAUACGUAGGUGGCAAGCGUUAUCCGGAAUUAUUGGGCGUAAAGCGCGCGCAGGUGGUUUCUUAAGUCUGAUGUGAAAGCCCACGGCUCAACCGUGGAGGGUCAUUGGAAACUGGGAGACUUGAGUGCAGAAGAGGAAAGUGGAAUUCCAUGUGUAGCGGUGAAAUGCGUAGAGAUAUGGAGGAACACCAGUGGCG
rnacentral:rRNA from 1 species